GCCCGGGUGGCGGAAUAGGUAGACGCGCAGGACUUAAAAUCCUGUUGGCAGUAAUGCCAGUACGGGUUCGAUUCCCGUCCCGGGCA
rnacentral:tRNA from 1 species